rnacentral:rRNA from 1 species
GACGAACGCUGGCGGCGUGCUUAACACACGCAAGUCGAACGAUGAAGCCGGAGCUUGCUCUGGUGAAUUAGUGGCGAACGGGUGAGUAACACGUGAGUAACCUGCCCUUGACUCUGGGAUAACUGCGGGAAACUGUAGCUAAUACCGGAUACGACCCUCGGAGGCAUCUCCUGGGGGUGGAAAGAAUUUCGGUCAAGGAUGGACUCGCGGCCUAUCAGCUAGUUGGUGAGGUAAAGGCUCACCAAGGCGACGACGGGUAGCCGGCCUGAGAGGGUAACCGGCCACACUGGGACUGAGACACGGCCCAGACUCCUACGGGAGGCAGCAGUGGGGAAUAUUGCACAAUGGGCGCAAGCCUGAUGCAGCAACGCCGCGUGAGGGAUGACGGCCUUCGGGUUGUAAACCUCUUUUAGCAGGGAAGAAGCGAAAGUGACGGUACCUGCAGAAAAAGCACCGGCUAACUACGUGCCAGCAGCCGCCGUAA